rnacentral:lncRNA from 1 species
GGAGCAGAUCACCGCUGCCAGAGAGGAAGCUGCUAUUGCGAUAAAUUCUGCCUCGUGGUAUCAGACUGCUGUCCAGACCACAGGACCCUCUGCAACCCUGGUGACCAUGCACACCCACCUCCACCCCGGGCACAGCUGGAUGCCGUAACCCACAGAGCCUCUCACACUCCCAAGAUGGUGCUACAGAUGUUGCUGAGGACGGAGAGUCCACUCGACUCAGCCAGGAACCAUCAAGAUUUGGUACAAACCACGGUUCUGCAGUUCCUCCACACCCUCUUUGGAAGGCCACUCUCGGUAACUGUGAAGGGAAUCAGGAAGAAGGCCUGAGUCUUCCUCCACCCCUGCCAGCAGGACCCAUGGAACGGAGGUCACCUUUGGUGUGCUGGGGCCAACAUGGCUGGCCCAGCCCAGGGGUAUCUGUCUCUCAGCUGCCAUCCCAUGAGCACUCACAUUGGCUUAGCCUGGAAUUGUUGUAAACACAUUUAAAAGUGCACAGAAUUAGCCAUUAAAAAAAUUACAAAAACA